UACAGGGGGUGCAAACGUUGCUCGGAAUCAUUGGGCGUAAAGCGCACGUAGGCGGUUUGUUAUGUCGGAUGUGAAAGCCCUUGGCUCAACUGAGGAAGUGCAUCCGAAACUGGCAGCUAGAGUACUAAAGAGGGUCGCGGAAUUCCCGGUGUAGAGGUGAAAUUCGUAGAUAUCGGGAGGAACACCGGUGGCGAAGGCGGCGACCUGGGUAGAUACUGACGCUGAGGUGCGAAAGCGUGGGGAGCGAACAGG
rnacentral:rRNA from 1 species